GGACUGUGCUCCAGUAAAUGAUUUAUUGCAUUCAAGGGGUUUCCUUAGUGAGAAUCACAGUUUCUCUCAGGAGAAGAAACAGCCAUACCAAGUGUUAGUGCUAAAAUAUGCUGUCAAGUACAUAAGGUUAUGGAAGGCUGCCUCAAAAAAGCUGCUGUGGAGGGAAAUAAUGUUGAUGGUUGCUCGUCAUUUCCUCUACUAAUUGAAAGCAGAUGUAAUCAGUUGCAGUCAAAUACCUUUUGAGAUGCAUUUAUAUUAGCCAAUGAUACCCAAGUUUUUGGGCAUCUGAUCUCCACUAUUUCUCUCUAAUUUAUACUGACUGAGGGCCUUCAGAGCUUUGGGUAGUUGAGUGAUGACCUGCUCCUGUUAAAAGCUCUUAGUCCACUCCUCUGUUAUGCUGCAAACUGAACUCCCAGCCUGGAAAGUUUUCUCCAAUGGACAGCAAGCCAUUCUUCCCCUCUGCUAACCUAGGACCUGGGGAUUGCUGCCUCACCAUCUGCAUUUACCCAGAACAGAUGCAAAAAAACCCACAGAAUUUUGGAGCUCCCAAACCAACAGUAACUUUGGUACAGCAGAUGCUGCCGUGAAGGAACCUGGUGGCUACAACUGG
rnacentral:lncRNA from 1 species